GUCCCAACGGAGAUGGAGCUGGAGCCUUCAACUUCUUUUUGCUUGGAGCGGGAGCUGGAACCAGAGCAGGAGGAGCGGCGAGAGGAGCUGGUGGUGGAACAGCUGGAGGAGGAGUUGCUGGUGGUGGAGUAGCUGGAGGAGGAGUUGCUGGAGGAGGAGAAGCAGGAGGUGGAGUGGCAGGAGGAGGAGAGGCUGGUGGUGGAGUAGCUGGAGGAGGAGAGACUGGUGGUGGAGUGGCGGGAGGAGGAGUGGCAGGAGGUGGAGUUGCAGGAGGAGGAGUAGCCGGUGGUGGAGUUGAAACUGGAGGAGGAGUAGCCGGAGGUGGAGAUUGAGUUACUGGAG
rnacentral:lncRNA from 1 species